rnacentral:lncRNA from 1 species
AGGUUUUUUCUUGGUUACCUUCACAAAGAGGUGUGUAAAGAGCACACCUGAUGUGGAUCCAAUUAAAAUUAGCCAGCUGUAUUAUUUAUUUCUCUUUUUAAUUUACAGAUUUUCUUUUUUUUCACAAAAAAAAAAAAAUUGUUUCUAUCACCUAGAGAACAGAGAACACGCUUCAUCUUCUUUCUCUGGUUUUUCUUUGUUUCCUAUUCUUCUUCUCCAUACCCAUUUUCUUGCUUCGUACAAGUUGAAUUUCACUUCAUCAUCUUAAGAAUCAAACUUGAAUCAAACUUGUGUUCAUCGAAUUAGCAUCCUACAAAAAUCAACCAAUCUUUCUAUUUCUACUACAACAUUUACAUGUAAGUUACUCUAUCUCUUGAUUUUUUGGGUUUUUCACUUCCUUUAGUUUUAGGUUAGUUUUGUUUGUGUUUGGUGCUUUGAUUUGUUACCGAAUUUUGCACCGUGGGUAAUUGAGGUUAGCUUUGAUUUCUUUGUUAACUCAGUCAUUGUGUAUUGCAUACAAACUCAGUCUUUUAUAAUCGCACGAGGAACUCUCAUUCUAUAAAAAAUUGCAUGUCGUGAAAUCUAAAGUUUUGGUAUUAUUUGUUGAAACAUUGUGUUUAUUUCUUGUUGAAACUUUUAUCUGGUGCUUAUCCAACAUUUAACAUGUUCAUGUUCUGCUCUGGGAUGGUUUAAUCACCUUGAUAGUUAAUUAAGGGAGCUGUCUGUGUGAUUUUAAUUGUUAUCUUCUGAUA